rnacentral:rRNA from 1 species
CUCCUACGGGAGGCAGCAGUCGGGAAUAUUGGGCAACGGGCGAAAGCCAGACCCAGCAACGCCGCGUGAAGGAAGAAGGCCCUCGGGUUGUAAACGUCUUUUAAGAGGGACGAAGAAGUGACGGUACCUCUUGAAUGAGCCACGGCUAACUACGUGCCAGCAGCCGCGGUAAUACGUAGGUGGCGAGCGUUAUCCGGAUUUACUGGGUGUAAAGGGCGCGUAGGCGGGAAUGCGAGUCAGAUGUGAAAUCCAAGGGCUCAACCCUUGAGCUGCAUUUGAAACUGUAUUUCUUGAGUGUCGGAGAGGUUGACGGAAUUCCUAGUGUAGCGGUGAAAUGCGUAGAUAUUAGGAGGAACACCAGUCGCGAAGGCGGCUUACUGGACUGUCACUGACGUUGAGGCUCGAAAGCGUGGGGAGCAAACAGGAUUAGAUACCCUGGUAGUCCACGCCGUAAACGAUGAUUACUAGGUGUUGGUGGGUAUGACCCAUCGGUGCCGCAGCAAACGCAAUAAGUAAUCCACCUGGGGAGUACGUUCGCAAGAAUGAAACUCAAAGGAAUUGACGGGGACCCGCACAAGCGGUGGAGCAUGUAGUUUAAUUCGAAGCAACGCGAAGAACCUUACCUGGUCUUGACAUCCCUAUGAAUAACGGGCAAUGCCGUUAGUACUUCGGUACAUAGGAGACAGGUGGUGCAUGGUUGUCGUCAGCUCGUGUCGUGAGAUGUUGGGUUAAGUCCCGCAACGAGCGCAACCCUUAUCUUUAGUAGCCAGCAGUAAGAUGGGCACUCUAGAGAGACUGCCGGGGAUAACCCGGAGGAAGGUGGGGAUGACGUCAAAUCAUCAUGCCCCUUAUGACCAGGGCUACACACGUGCUACAAUGGCGUAAACAAAGAGAAGCGAAGUCGUGAGGCAGAGCGAAUCUCAAAAAUAACGUCUCAGUUCGGAUUGUAGUCUGCAACUCGACUACAUGAAGCUGGAAUCGCUAGUAAUCGCAGAUCAGAAUGCUGCGGUGAAUACAUUCCCGGGUCUUGUACACACCGC